UACAGAGGGUGCUAGCGUUAAUCGGCUUUACUGGGCGUAAAGCGUGCGUAGGCGGUUUGUUAAGUCGGUUGUGAAAGCCCCGGGCUCAACCUGGGACUUGCAGUCGAUACUGGCAGACUAGAGAACGGUAGAGGGAGGCGGAACUCCAGGUGUAGCGGUGAAAUGCGUAGAUAUCUGGAAGAACACCGAUGGCGAAGGCAACCUCCUGGGCCUGUUCUGACGCUGAGGCACGAAAGCGUGGGUAGCAAACAGG
rnacentral:rRNA from 1 species